AUAUUACAUUACAAGGAAAGUUUGCACAGGAACUUUGAAAUUCAAUGUUGAAUGCAUAUCCCAGAAGGAGUGGCAGUCUCUUGAAAAUCUUGGCUCUUUGCAACACACUGGAAAGAAAGUAGAGAUGACAGAGAAAGAAAUUGCUCUUAAGGAGCUUACAUUCCAGUAAUGCAUGCACAGAAUGAAAUAAGUUCCAUAACAGAAGUAUGCACAAUGGAUGUGUCUUGAGAAUACAGAAUAGGAAGUUGGCUAUCAUCAAAUGGAGGGCAUUGAAGGCUGAGAAAAUAAUCAUUUUAUAUGUGAGUGUGUUUAUCUUAAAGUUGAUGAUGAAACCUGAAACAGAAGUGAAGUUGCCUAAGACUGACCAUUCCAAGAGGCAAUUAAUGAGAUACUGUUCUCAGACCCAGUGAUGAUGCUUCUAGAGAACCAUUUGGAGAGUUUUUCACGUGUUCCAUGCAAGGACUGGCAUCUGAUUCACAACUACAAAAUUUAAAGGUGAGAGUCAGUGGCCUGAGCUCUGUUGACUAGGAGCACAGUGAGGGAAAAUGGCUCUGUCGGAAUCCACCACAACUUCUAGCAUCUGGUGUGACAAAGGAUGUUUGAAUUUCCCAUGAACCCAUGAGGCCCCCGAGGUUGGAAUGUAUUGGGUUGUUAUGAGUGGAACUCCACACAAGAGGAGUAAAUCCAAUGGAGGGGUGGGCCACAAAAACCAGUGGCUAAAGGGGAAGUUGUAAGAGGAGGCAUAGUGUACGUCAGAUGAACUGUAGGUGAGAGAUCCCCAAUGAUGGAAGUUGUCUCUGAAAAAGCCACAAAACCACUCCAAGAAAGAAAGAAUUGACAUUUAGAACAUCCCUCACAGAGAGAAUACCUAUACCAGAGUAUAACUGUACUGUGAAAUAAUACUAUAUUUACUUUUACUUCUUUUCAAUCUCCUCACUCCAAUCCCUGAAAGGUCCCAAAGCAUCAGCUAGGGAGUCAAGGAGAAGGUAGAAUAAGAGCUGAAGAUGAUUCUAACCAUCCCCAUCUUCUUUCAUUAUAGGCUUCCAAGACUGAAGUAGGCUAGAGAUCAGAGAAGAGAGAAGUUUUAAAUUUGAUGAGAAUAGGAUUUUGAUUAUUAUACUGACUAGAUUUUUUAAUACCUGGAAAAAGAGAUUAUUAAAUUUCAUUGAGUCUAAGAUGCUAUUGAUUAUAAGAUGUUCCAUUAUUUUAUAUAACACUUGGGGAAAAAAAUCCCUUCCAAUUAUGACUACAAGAUGACUUUGAGAUUCAGAGAUGAGAUAUUAAAAUGGAAAAAUAUGUUCAUCUUAGACUAGACAAAAUAGAGUAAUAUUUUAUUAUGUGAGGGUGAUUGGAAAAGCUGUGAGAUCUGAUUGAGAUUUCAUUGAAGGGAGGGUACGUGAACUAAUAAUAGAGCAUUUAAAGGGGGGCAGUGGUGAUAAAAAGUCAAAUUCCUGCCUUUACCCUACAGUGUCCAACUGGUACAAUAAACUGGUUAAACAAUGUAAUUUCUCAGUCUAAUUUCAAGCAAACACACACAUACCCACACACAUGAGCUAAACCUGCCUUUGACAAAAGCCUGAAGAGAAAAGGGGAUCCAGGCACUCAAAGGCUCAUUUUAAAGGUUUACCUUCUCCAACUAACAUACGUCUAAUCCUUCCCAGAAAGAGCAGAACACUCCUUGAGUGCUAAAAUAGAUGCCAGAUUUCAGUUGGAAUUAAAAAUUGGGAUAUGUGGAAAUAAUGAAAUACUUUGGAUGUUUUCAUAAUUUUGAGAAUUAACAGGAAAGACUUAGAUCUCAUGCUCUCAGUAACACAUUUGAUAACAUGGGGAGAUUAAUAGUAUAACUGAAAUAUCAUUUGGCCUCCCUGCCUCUCAGAUGUCUAGAUAAACUACACUGAAUCCUCCCAGUUCUAUGGACCGUGAAAGUCUAAAGAACUCCCAUUUGCUUUUGUGAAUUCCUGGAGAAUUACGUCUCACAGUCCCCUAAGCCUCUGACUCUCGUGUGUAUCAAUCUGGAUUUGAAACUAGACUCCUCUGGGGGUUUUAAAAUAUGUCCAAAAAUUCUUUGACAUUCCUCUCUUCAAGAGAUGGCACUUAACUCCUCUUCCAUUGAGUGUGGGAUGGACUAACUGACUUAAAUGAAAUGAAUAAUGUAUGUAUGACAUUGUGUGGCUUCUGACACCAGGAUGUAAAGCACAUGGCUUCCUUCUUGCCUUCUCUCUUGGAUUGCUUGCUCUGGAGGAAGCUAGCUUCCAUGUCAUGAGGACACUCAAGCAGCCCUCUGGAGAGAGAGGUUCAUGUGGUGAGAAACAGGAGUCCAGCCUACAGCCAUGUAAUUAAGCCCUCUUGGAAGUGGAGGUUGGUAUCUUUGGCAAUGUACUGAGGCCAAGGGACAUUUUAGAAGGAGAGGCCAGAGUUUGUAUUUAUACUGUUGGGGAGGAAGAAAUUUUCCACUACCGUUCUAGGUUCUUCUGGCUGGUCUAAGAAUUAAAUUGACAUGAGACAGAUUAA